GUCAGCUCCCUGCAGAAGUUAAAUGUGAAAAGAGCUAAAGAGGCGUGACUGGCAAACUACAAGCAGGAGAGGACAGAAGCAGAGACUGCUAGCAAAAAUCGUCUUUCUUGGGGUUCCGGGGAUCAUUGCCUCACUCAGAGGGCUUAGAGGCCACGGAAACCUCAAAGGACCAGCUGGAGCCUCACAAGUUCAAUGUGCUCAUAGAUGCAGUGUGAUAAAUCAGUUUGCAAAUCCCAUAGUGUCAAUGCAGUGAGUCCUACUCAAAGAUAAGCGACCCUCCACUCCAAGGUUAAGACAUUUUUCAGUUUCAGUUUGUUUCCACCAUUUGUACUGUAAGCUUGUGACGGAGUAACUUCACUACAGUUGAGUAAGUGCUUGGACUGCCAUACCAACGAGCCUGGCUCUUUGGUAUGCUGUAAAAGUUGCAUGUUUGGUACCCUGUAGACCUGUGUUUGAAUCUGGGCAGGGUGAAUGCUCUCUCCUUUGUCCACAUAUGGUGUCAGAAGUGGGAUGGCUUGCCGUGAGGUCAUGUGAGCCGUGCCCAGAGUCCGAGCCGUAUGAGGGACCCCCAUGGGUAACAUUAAUGAUGUGAUGUGUAUUGUGUACUUUUCAGUAAUACUGAUAAUAUGUCAUCAUUUUACUAAUUU